rnacentral:rRNA from 1 species
CGNUNGGAGCUCUCCCAUAUGGUCGACCUGCAGGCGGCCGCGAAUUCACUAGUGAUUNNAGUUUGAUCCUGGCUCANAUUGAACGCUGGCGGCGUGCUUAACACAUGCAAGUCNAACGUGAAAGUCCUUCGGGGCGAGUAAAGUGGCGCACGGGNGAGUAACGCGUGGAUAAUCUACCCUUAAGAUGGGGAUAACGGCUGGAAACGGUCGCUAAUACCGAAUACGCUCCCGAUUUUAUCAUUGGGGGGAAAGAUGGCCUCUGCUUGCNAGCUAUCGCUUAAGGAUGAGUCCGCGUCCCAUUAGCUAGUUGGCGGGGUAACGGCCCACCAAGGCAACGAUGGGUAGCCGGUCUGAGAGGAUGACCGGCCACACUGGAACUGGAACACGGNCCAGACUCCUACGGGAGGCAGCAGUGGGGAAUAUUGCGCAAUGGGCGAAAGCCUGACGCANCGACGCCGCGUGAGGGAUGAAGGUUCUCGGAUCGUAAACCUCUGUCAGGGGGGAAGAAACCCCCUCGUGUGANNA